rnacentral:rRNA from 1 species
ACUUAAGCAUAUCCAUAAGCGGAGGAAAAGAAACCAACAGGGAUUGCCCUAGUAACGGCGAGUGAAGCGGCAACAGCUCAAAUUUGAAAUCUGGCGUAAGCCCGAGUUGUAAUUUGUAGAGGAUGCUUCUGGGUAGCGGCCGGUCUAAGUUCCUUGGAACAGGACGUCAUAGAGGGUGAGAAUCCCGUAUGUGACUGGCUUGCACCCUCCACGUAGCUCCUUCGACGAGUCGAGUUGUUUGGGAAUGCAGCUCUAAAUGGGAGGUAAAUUUCUUCUAAAGCUAAAUACCGGCCAGAGACCGAUAGCGCACAAGUAGAGUGAUCGAAAGAUGAAAAGCACUUUGGAAAGAGAGUUAAAAAGCACGUGAAAUUGUUGAAAGGGAAGCGCCCGCAACCAGACUUUGCGGCGGUGUUCGGCUGGUCUUCUGACCGGUUUACUCGCCGCCGUGAGGCCAUCAUCGUCUGGGACCGCUGGAUAAGACCUGAGGAAUGUAGCUCCCUUCGGGGUGUGUUAUAGCCUCUGGUGAUGCAGCGCGUCUCGGGCGAGGUCCGCGCUUCGGCAAGGAUGAUGGCGUAAUGGUUGUCGGCGGCCCGUCUUGAAACACGGACCAAGGAGUCUAACAUCUAUGCGAGUGUUCGGGUGUCAAACCCCUACGCGUAAUGAAAGUGAACGGAGGUGGGAACUUUUUGUGCACCAUCGACCGAUCCUGAUGUCCUCGGAUGGAUUUGAGUAAGAGCAUAGCUGUUGGGACCCGAAAGAUGGUGAACUAUGCCUGAAUAGGGUGAAGCCAGAGGAAACUCUGGUGGAGGCUCGCAGCUGGUUCUGACGUGCAAAUCGAUCGUCAAAUUUGGGUAUAGGGGCGAAAGCCCUAAUCGGACCCC